AUUGAACGCUGGCGGCAGGCCUAACACAUGCAAGUCGAACGGUAACAGGAAGCAGCUUGCUGCUUUGCUGACGAGUGGCGGACGGGUGAGUAAUGUCUGGGAAACUGCCUGAUGGAGGGGGAUAACUACUGGAAACGGUAGCUAAUACCGCAUAACGUCGCAAGACCAAAGGGGGGGACCUUCGGGCCUCUUGCCAUCGGAUGUGCCCAGAUGGGAUUAGCUAGUAGGUGGGGUAACGGCUCACCUAGGCGACGAUCCCUAGCUGGUCUGAGAGGAUGACCAGCCGCACUGGAACUGAGACACGGUCCAGACUCCUACGGGAGGCAGCAGUGGGGAAUAUUGCACAAUGGGCGCAAGCCUGAUGCAGCCAUGCCGCGUGUAUGAAGAAGGCCUUCGGGUUGUAAAGUACUUUCAGCGGGGAGGAAGGGAGUAAAGUUAAUACCUUUGCUCAUUGACGUUACCCGCAGAAGAAGCACCGGCUAACUCCGUG
rnacentral:rRNA from 1 species